AUUGAACGCUGGCGGCAUGCCUUACACAUGCAAGUCGAACGGUAACGCGGGGCAACCUGGCGACGAGUGGCGAACGGGUGAGUAAUGCAUCGGAACGUGCCCGGUAGUGGGGGAUAACUGCUCGAAAGAGCAGCUAAUACCGCAUACGACCUGAGGGUGAAAGGGGGGGAUCGCAAGACCUCUCGCUAUCGGAGCGGCCGAUGUCGGAUUAGCUAGUUGGUGGGGUAAAGGCCUACCAAGGCGACGAUCCGUAGCUGGUCUGAGAGGACGACCAGCCACACUGGGACUGAGACACGGCCCAGACUCCUACGGGAGGCAGCAGUGGGGAAUUUUGGACAAUGGACGCAAGUCUGAUCCAGCCAUGCCGUGUGCGGGAAGAAGGCCUUCGGGUUGUAAACCGCUUUUGUCAGGGAAGAAAUCUUUUGAGUUAAUAUCUCGGGAGGAUGACGGUACUUGAAGAAUAAGCACCGGCUAACUACGUGCCAGCCGCCGCAGUAAGAC
rnacentral:rRNA from 1 species